UGCAAUUACAUUUGCACCAGCCUAAUAAAACUGGAACAAUACAGAGAAGAUUAGCAUGGCCCCUGCACAAGAAUGACAUGCAUAUUCAGAAAGCAUUUCAUAUUUUU
ensembl:snRNA U6 U6 spliceosomal RNA